GCUGGAGUGGUGGAAUGGUAUACACGUGCGACUCAAAAUCGCAUGCCGCAAGGCUUGAGGGUUCAAGUCCCUCCUCCAGCA
rfam:Candidatus Kaiserbacteria bacterium RIFOXYB1_FTLL_46_14 rifoxyb1_full_scaffold_432, whole genome shotgun sequence.